rnacentral:misc_RNA from 1 species
AACGCACCUUGCGCCUUUUGGUAUUCCGAAAGGCAUGCCUGUUUGAGUGUCAUGUGGACUCAACUCUCGAGAGGUUUCUUGCGAGUUGGAUUUGGGUGUUGCCAUUUGGCUCGCCUUAAAAGUGUUAGUGGUUUAAGCACUUGAUCGGACGUGAUAAGUUUCGUCCGGACGUGUGUCGUCGACCGCUCCUAAACCGCCUUGCGGCGCUCUUUGACUCUGACCUCAAAUCAGGUAGGACUACCCGCUGAACUUAA